AUUCCUACGGGGCGCAGCAGUGGGGAAUAUUGCACAAUGGGGGGAACCCUGAUGCAGCGACGCCGCGUGGGUGAAGGAGCACCUCGGUGCGUAAAGCCCUAUCGGCAGGGAAGAAACAGACGGUACCUGACUAAGAAGCCCCGGCUAACUACGUGCCAGCAGCCGCGGUAAUACGUAGGGGGCAAGCGUUAUCCGGAUUUACUGGGUGUAAAGGGAGCGUAGACGGCGAUGCAAGCCAGAUGUGAAAGCCCGGGGCUCAACCCCGGGACUGCAUUUGGAACUGUGUGGCUGGAGGGUCGGAGAGG
rnacentral:rRNA from 1 species